rnacentral:rRNA from 1 species
UACGUAGGGGGCAAGCGUUGUCCGGAUUUAUUGGGCGUAAAGAGCGUGUAGGCGGCCAGAUAGGUCAGCUGUGAAAACUCGAGGCUCAACCUCGAGAUGUCGGCUGAAACCAUCUGGCUAGAGUCCGGAAGAGGAGAAUGGAAUUCCCGGUGUAGCGGUGAAAUGCGCACAUAUCGGGAAGAACACCCGUGGCGAAAGCGGCUCUCUGGGACGGUACUGACGCUGAGACGCGAAAGCGUGGGGAGCAAACAGG